UACGGAAGGCAGCAGUGGGGAAUAUUGCACAAUGGGCGCAAGCCUGAUGCAGCCAUGCCGCGUGUAUGAAGAAGGCCUUCGGGUUGUAAAGUACUUUCAGUCGUGAGGAAGGUGUUAAGGUUAAUAACCUUAGCAAUUGACGUUAGCGACAGAAGAAGCACCGGCUAACUCCGUGCCAGCAGCCGCGGUAAUACGGAGGGUGCGAGCGUUAAUCGGAAUUACUGGGCGUAAAGGGCACGCAGGCGGUUAAUUAAGUUGGAUGUGAAAUCCCCGGGCUUAACCUGGGAAUGGCAUUCAAGACUGGUUAGCUAGAGUCUUGUAGAGGGGGUAGAAUUCCAUGUGUAGCGGUGAAAUGCGUAGAGAUGUGGAGGAAUACCGGUGGCGAAGGCGGCCCCUGGGACAAAGACCGACGCUCAUGUGCGAAAGCGUGGGGAGCAAACAGGGAUUAGAUACC
rnacentral:rRNA from 1 species